CUACGUGCCAGCAGCCGCGGUAAUACGGAAGGUCCAGGCGUUAUCCGGAUUUAUUGGGUUUAAAGGGAGCGUAGGCUGGAGAUUAAGUGUGUUGUGAAAUGUAGACGCUCAACGUCUGAAUUGCAGCGCAUACUGGUUUCCUUGAGUACGCACAACGUUGGCGGAAUUCGUCGUGUAGCGGUGAAAUGCUUAGAUAUGACGAAGAACUCCGAUUGCGAAGGCAGCAUACGGGAGUGUAACUGACGCUUAAGCUCGAAGGUGCGGGUAUCGAACAGGAUUAGAUACCCUGGUAGUCCGCACAGUAAACGAUGGAUGCCCGCUGUUGGUACCUGGUAUCAGCGGCUAAGCGAAAGCAUUAAGCAUCCCACCUGGGGAGUACGCCGGCAACGGUGAAACUCAAAGGAAUUGACGGGGGCCCGCACAAGCGGAGGAACAUGUGGUUUAAUUCGAUGAUACGCGAGGAACCUUACCCGGGCUUGAA
rnacentral:rRNA from 1 species